rnacentral:rRNA from 1 species
AUUGAACGCUGGCGGCAGGCUUAACACAUGCAAGUCGAGCGGAGUGAUGGUGCUUGCACUAUCACUUAGCGGCGGACGGGUGAGUAAUGCUUAGGAAUCUGCCUAUUAGUGGGGGACAACAUCUCGAAAGGGAUGCUAAUACCGCAUACGUCCUACGGGAGAAAGCAGGGGAUCACUUGUGACCUUGCGCUAAUAGAUGAGCCUAAGUCGGAUUAGCUAGUUGGUGGGGUAAAGGCCUACCAAGGCGACGAUCUGUAGCGGGGCUGAGAGGAUGCUCCGCCACCCUGGGACUGAGACACGGCCCAGACUCCUCCGGGACGCAGCAGUGGGGAAUAUUGGACAAUGGGGGGAACCCUCAGCCAGCCAUGCCGCGUGUGUGAAGAAGGCCUUAUGGUUGUAAAGCACUUUAAGCGAGGAGGAGGCUCUUUUGGUUAAUACCCAAGAUGAGUGGACGUUACUCGCAGAAUAAGCACCGGCUAACUACGUGCCAGCCGCCGCGGUAA